AAUGGGGGAAACCCUGACGCAGCAACGCCGCGUGGAGGAUGACACUUUUCGGAGCGUAAACUCCUUUUCUUAGGGAAGAAUUCUGACGGUACCUAAGGAAUAAGCACCGGCUAACUCCGUGCCAGCAGCCGCGGUAAUACGGAGGGUGCAAGCGUUACUCGGAAUCACUGGGCGUAAAGGGCGCGUAGGCGGAUUAUCAAGUCUCUUGUGAAAUCUAAUGGCUUAACCAUUAAACUGCUUGGGAAACUGAUAGUCUAGAGUGAGGGAGAGGCAGAUGGAAUUGGUGGUGUAGGGGUAAAAUCCGUAGAUAUCACCAAGAAUACCCAUUGCGAAGGCGAUCUGCUGGAACUCAACUGACGCUAAGGCGCGAAAGCGUGGGGAGCAAACAGGAUUAGAUACCCUGGUAGUCCACGCCCUAAACGAUGUACACUAGUUGUUGGGGUGCUAGUCAUCUCAGUAAUGCAGCUAACGCAUUAAGUGUACCGCCUGGGGAGUACGGUCGCAAGAUUAAAACUCAAAGGAAUAGACGGGGACCCGCACAAGCGGUGGAGCAUGUGGUUUAAUUCGAAGAUACGCGAAGAACCUUACCUGGGCUUGAUAUCCUAAGAACCUUUUAGAGAUAAGAGGGUGCUAGCUUGCUAGAACUUAGAGACAGGUGCUGCACGGCUGUCGUCAGCUCGUGUCGUGAGAUGUUGGGUUAAGUCCCGCAACGAGCGCAACCCACGUAUUUAGUUGCUAACGGUUCGGCCGAGCACUCUAAAUAGACUGCCUUCGUAAGGAGGAGGAAGGUGUGGACGACGUCAAGUCAUCAUGGCCCUUAUGCCCAGGGCGACACACGUGCUACAAUGGCAUAUACAAUGAGACGCAAUACCGCGAGGUGGAGCAAAUCUAUAAAAUAUGUCCCAGUUCGGAUUGUUCUCUGCAACUCGAGAGCAUGAAGCCGGAAUCGCUAGUAAUCGUAGAUCAGCCAUGCUACGGUGAAUACGUUCCCGGGUCUUGUACUCACCGCCCGUCACACCAUGGGAGUUGAUUUCACUCGAAGCCGGAAUACUAAACUAGUUACCGUCCACAGUGGAAUCAGCGACUGGGGUGAAGUCGUAACAAGGUAACCGUAGGAGAACCUGCGGUUGGAUCACCUCCUUUCUA
rnacentral:rRNA from 1 species